rnacentral:rRNA from 1 species
UAGGGAAUCUUCGGCAAUGGACGAAAGUCUGACCGAGCAACGCCGCGUGAGUGAAGAAGGUUUUCGGAUCGUAAAAAUCUGUUGUUAGAGAAGAACAAGGACGUUAGUAACUGAACGUCCCCUGACGGUAUCUAACCAGAAAGCCACGGCUAACUACGUGCCAGCAGCCGCGGUAAUACGUAGGUGGAAAGCGGUGUCCGGAUUGAUUGGGCGUAAAGCGAGCGCAGGCGGUUUCUUAAGUCUGAUGUGAAAGCCCCCGGCUCAACCGGGGAGGGUCAUUGGAAACUGGGAGACUUGAGUGCAGAAGAGGAGAGUGGAAUUCCAUGUGUAGCGGUGAAAUGCGUAGAUAUAUGGAGGAACACCAGUGGCGAAGGCGGCUCUCUGGUCUGUAACUGACGCUGAGGCUCGAAAGCGUGGGGAGCAAACAGG